rnacentral:rRNA from 1 species
CUAUCUCGAAUGGUAAAGGUGAUGGAUUAUUGAGUGCUGUGACGUGUCUUAAUUCAAAUAACCCUCAAGAUCAAAGCGAAUUAGAAGGAAAAACGAUAUGUAUCAUGGAAUCUAUGUUAGGAUCCCAAUUUUAUUUUGAUACAGCAUCUGUCAUGG